rnacentral:rRNA from 1 species
UACAGAGGGGGCUAGCGUUGUUCGGAAUUACUGGGCGUAAAGGGCGCGUAGGCGGCCCGCUAAGUCGAACGUGAAAUCCCCGGGCUCAACCCGGGAACUGCGUCCGAUACUGGCAGGCUUGAAUCCGGGAGAGGGAUGUGGAAUUCCAGGUGUAGCGGUGAAAUGCGUAGAUAUCUGGAGGAACACCGGUGGCGAAGGCGGCAUCCUGGACCGAUAUUGACGCUGAUGCGCGAAAGCCAGGGGAGCAAACGGG